rnacentral:rRNA from 1 species
AUUGAACGCUGGCGGCAGGCUUAACACAUGCAAGUCGAGCGGAGAUGAGGUGCUUGCACCUUAUCUUAGCGGCGGACGGGUGAGUAAUGCUUAGGAAUCUGCCUAUUAGUGGGGGACAACAUUCCGAAAGGAAUGCUAAUACCGCAUACGUCCUACGGGAGAAAGCAGGGGAUCUUCGGACCUUGCGCUAAUAGAUGAGCCUAAGUCGGAUUAGCUAGUUGGUGGGGUAAAGGCCUACCAAGGCGACGAUCUGUAGCGGGUCUGAGAGGAUGAUCCGCCACAAUGGGAGUGAGACACGGCCCAGACUCCUAUGGGAGGCAGCAGUGGGGAAUAUUGGACAAUGGGGGGAACCCUGAUCCAGCCAUGCCGCGUGUGUGAAGAAGGCCUUAUGGUUGUAAAGCACUUUAAGCGAGGAGGAGGCUACUGAGACUAAUACUCUUGGAUAGUGGACGUUACUCGCAGAAUAAGCACCGGCUAACUCUGUGCCAGCCGCCGCCGUAAUAC